AACGAACGCUGGCGGCAUGCCUAACACAUGCAAGUCGAACGAGACCUUCGGGUCUAUUGGCGCACGGGUGCGUAACGCGUGGGAACCUGCCCUUAGGUUCGGAAUAACUCCCCGAAAGGGGUGCUAAUACCGGAUAAUGUCUUCGGACCAAAGAUUUAUCGCCUUUGGAUGGGCCCGCGUUGGAUUAGCUAGUUGGUAGGGUAAAAGCCUACCAAGGCGACGAUCCAUAGCUGGUCUGAGAGGAUGAUCAGCCACACUGGGACUGAGACACGGCCCAGAAUCAUACGGGAGGCAGCAGUGGGGAAUAUUGGACAAGGGGCGAAAGCCUGAUAAAGCAAUGCCGCGGGAGUGAUGAAGGCCUUAGGGUUGUAAAGCUCUUUUACCCGGGAUGAUAAUGACAGUACCGGGAGAAUAGGCUCCGGCUAACUCCGUG
rnacentral:rRNA from 1 species